rnacentral:misc_RNA from 1 species
CCGAGUGGGGGUCUUUUUUGAGGCCCGAUCUCCAACCCUGUGUGUAUGUACCUUCGUUGCUUUGGCAGGUCGGUCUUUGACCAGACUGCCGGCGGUCCCCGUGACCGCCGGAGAGUGCCUGUCAGUAGCCCCCAUUUUCAAUCCUUGAAUAACCGUGACCUCUGAGUUUGGGACAACAAAUAGUUAA